GUGCUCGCUUCAGCAGCACAUAUACUAAAAUUGGAAUGAUACAGAGAAGAUUAUCAUGGUCCCUGCACAAGGAUGACAUGCAAAGUGCCAUGUGAAGUGUUUCUUAUUA